UGGGGAAUCUUGCACAAUGGGGGCAACCCUGAUGCAGCGACGCCGCGUGAGCGAUGAAGCCCUUCGGGGCGUAAAGCCCUUUCGACCGGAACGAUAAUGACGGUACCGGGAGAAGAAGCUGCGGCUAACUACGUGCCAGCAGCCGCGGUAAUACGUAGGCAGCAAGCGUUGUUCGGAGUUACUGGGCGUAAAGAGUGCGUAGGCGGUUUUCUAAGUUCGGUGUGAAAUCUCCCGGCUUAACUGGGAGGGUGCGCCGAAGACUGGGAAGCUGGAGUGUGGGAAAGGCAGGCGGAAUUCCUGGUGUAGCGGUGAAAUGCGUAGAUAUCAGGAGGAACACCGGCGGUGUAGACGGCUUGCUAGACCAUAACUGACGCUGAGGCACGAAAGCGUGGGUAGCAAAC
rnacentral:rRNA from 1 species